UUUAAAAUAUAGAACAACCAAGAACGAAGUCGAGGAGAAACUUUUGGUUAAUCAAGUAUCAUUAUGAAGCUUGUCAAACAAAUCAAUGGCUGAAAUUAAUGUAUCAAUAUGGAGCAAAAUAAAAAUUCAGUUUUGGAAAUUCAAGUCUAUAAAAUCAUCAAAGAGUUUAGAUAUACUGCAAAAGUAUGAAGAUGUCACUGAGAAACACAUAUCUGAUAAAGACUCCUCCUACUUGAACUUGAGGUCAGCCGCAGAAAUAUCUCGGAGUGGUGGAAGAAAGUUGACAUGCAAAAAAGGACAAAAAGAGACAAAGAUUACAAAUGAAUUU